AGAGCGAACGCUGGCGGCAGGCCUAACACAUGCAAGUCGAGCGCGUGUAGCAAUACACGAGCGGCAGACGGGAGAGUAACACGUGGGAACGCGCCCUUUGGUUCGGAAUAACUCAGGGAAACUUGAGCUAAUACCGGAUAAGCCCUUACGGGGAAAGAUUUAUCGCCAAAGGAACGGCCCGCGUCCGAUUAGCUAGUUGGUGAGGUAACGGCUCACCAAAGGCGACGACGGGUAGCU
rnacentral:rRNA from 1 species